rnacentral:lncRNA from 1 species
CUCAUCCUCACAGCUCUGCUGUCUGCAGCUGCUGCUCCCCACAAACCCACAGCACCUCCGAGCCUGGCUAACACAACAACGCCGUGGCUGCUGGGGACAUGGCAGUACGUGGCUGGAGCUGCCCAGCUGCCCCAGCACCUCCUGGAGCUGCUGCUCAUCGAUCACGGCCACCUCCAUGUGGAGCCCAGCAGCGGGCAGGAGCUGCUCAUCACCCAGCACGUGGCAGUGUGAGGCACCCACUUUCCAUCCCCGGUCCUUUUCUCCCACCCCAUUCCCUCUGCGGGUGCCCCAGCAUCCCCAUUCUCUGCAGGGGUGACCGAUGCCUCUCCAACAACUCCACCUCCAUCCACCUCGGUGCCAACAGCACGGCGCUGCUCAAGGAUGCCACGACGCAGCACAUCCUGGGGAUGGUGACAAAGCUCAGCUCUGAGGACACUCUGCUCAUCCAGCACCACGUGCAGAGGGAGAGGACGUAUUCAGCUCUGUAUCUCUAUGGAGCUGUGCCAACCGGGAGAGAAGGAAAAGAUGGAAGAAAGGAAGGAUGGAGGAGUGCAAGGCACGGCCCUGCCAAGCACCCCGACGGGCAGCCUGCAGCAAUAAAAGCUUUGCUCAGAGCUGUAGCACCACCUGAGCAGGACGUGCGAAAAGGAACCGAGCGCCUGGUUUGUUUUGCGUGCCGUUGCCCCGGCGUUCGGG